rnacentral:rRNA from 1 species
CCNAGGAGUUUUACNCGGGUGCGAGUCGUAGGGUAUGCUCUUUCUCGAUCGAGCUAAACCCGAAGGCGAAAUGAAAGUAAAGGCUUUCUUUUUCCUCACGGUUUUCGCCUCGCUUUUUUUCGGAAGAGCCGAGGAGUUGCCGCGGGGGAGAGAAGGCCGAGGCGGGAUCCCAGAAAUUCGCGAAAGAGAAAUGUAAAAGUUUUUUUUUUUUCGGUUUCGUACCGGCUCCGAGGUUUUUUUUAAAACCGACGAGUACCGGGGGCGCACCGCCGGCCCGUCUCGACCGCCGGUCGGAGAGUGCCGGAGAGUUUAGGGAUCGCGGCGGGAAGAGUGAACGGGAGUCGGGAGAGAGAGAGAGAUGGCUCGUUUCGGCGGGUUGUUUUUUUUUCCCUUCUUCUCUCGGAAUCUUUUCUUUAGCCCGUCUCUUAACGACCCUCGUCGGGCUCUCUCCGUUUUCCGAUUCAGUCGGCGAGGCGGAGCGAGAGCACGCGCGUUGGGACCCGAAAGAUGGUGAACUAUGCCCGGGCAGGACGAAGCCAGAGGAAACUCUGGUGGAGGUCCCUAGCGAUUCUGACGUGCAAAUCGAUCGUCGGACCCGGGUAUAGGGGC